GUUUUUGCCAUAAGCUCCAAUUAGCAUAAUCAUUUAGAGCAGACACUUGAAGUUCUACUGGUCCUGAUUGCAUUUUCCCUAAAGACACAGCUUGUUGUAUGGCUUCUUUUGCCAUGUCAAAUGAACGUUGUUGUUCCUCCCCCCAUACAAAAGAAGAAAUGCCAAAAACAAGAUGCACAAAAGUCCCAAAGUAGUGAUAAUGCAGAAAAAAGGUGCAAUUUUUUUUUCAUCUUCAAGAGGCUUUUUUCUUUAAACAGGUC